UGUAGCACUUCCUCCUUCACUGUCUCUCUUCUGCCAGCCAUGUGAAGAUUUUCCUGCUUCCUCAUUGCCUUCUGCCAUGAUUGUAAGUUCCCCGAGGCCUCCUCAGCCAUGCUUCCCAAACAGCCUGUGGAACGAGAAAAGGCCAUGUGAUGACCUGGUGAGAAGGUGGCAAUCUGCAAGCCAAGAAGAGGGCUUUCACCGGAAACAAACCCUUCCAGAUCUUAAUUGUGGAUUUCUAGCCUCCAGAAUGAUAUUCUUUCAGAUACUGUGUACUGAUGAAACUGCUGACUCAGCUGGUCUGAAGGACCCCACUGGCACCGGCUGGUCUGAAGGACCCUGCUGAUCACAACUUGCCUGAAGGACCCUACUGACAUCAGCUGUUGUCCAAAGGAUGCCACAAGAAACUGACUCACCAAAAAAUGCAUCCUGAUGAUUUCAUCCCCCUUAACCCGACCAAUCAACAACCCCAAAUCUACAUAGCCCCUUUCCCUCCAUGAUUCCUACAAAACUCCAGCCCAGAACUCCUCAGGGAGAUGGAUUUGAAGGUCUCCUCCCUUCUACUUGCUUGAUGCCCUAUUAUUAUUAAACU